GUUGCACUAUCGUUAACUGAAUACAUAGGUUAACGAGGCGAACCGGGGGAACUGAAACAUCUAAGUACCCCGAGGAAAAGAAAUCAACCGAGAUUCCCCCAGUAGCGGCGAGCGAACGGGGAGCAGCCCAGAGUCUGAAUCAGCUUGUGUGUUAGUGGAACGGUCUGGAAAGUCCGACGGUACAGGGUGAUAGUCCCGUACACCAAAAUGCACAGGCUGUGAACUCGAAGAGUAGGGCGGGACACGUGGUAUCCUGUCUGAAUAUGGGGGGACCAUCCUCCAAGGCUAAAUACUCCUGACUGACCGAUAGUGAACCAGUACCGUGAGGGAAAGGCGAAAAGAACCCCGGCGAGGGGAGUGAAAAAGAACCUGAAACCGUGUACGUACAAGCAGUGGGAGCACCUUCGGGUGUGACUGCGUACCUUUUGUAUAAUGGGUCAGCGACUUAUAUUCUGUAGCAAGGUUAACCGUAUAGGGGAGCCGCAGGGAAACCGAGUCUUAACUGGGCGUUAAGUUGCAGGGUAUAGACCCGAAACCCGGUGAUCUAGCCAUGGGCAGGUUGAAGGUUGGGUAACACUAACUGGAGGACCGAACCGACUAAUGUUGAAAAAUUAGCGGAUGACUUGUGGCUGGGGGUGAAAGGCCAAUCAAACCGGGAGAUAGCUGGUUCUCCCCGAAAGCU
rnacentral:rRNA from 1 species